GAUGAAGAACGUAGCGAAAUGCGAUACGUAAUGUGAAUUGCAGAAUUCAGUGAAUCAUCGAAUCUUUGAACGCAUAUUGCGCUCUUUGGUAUUCCGAAGAGCAUGCUUGUUUGAGUAUCAGUAAACACCUCAAAGCUUUUGGAUUUUUUAAUCGAAAAGCUUUGGACUUGAGCAAUCCCAACACCAAUCUUUUUGAGAUCGGUGGCGGGUUGCUUGAAAUGCAAGUGCAGCUGGACAUUCUCCUGAGCUAAAAGCAUAUUCAUUUAGUCCCGUCAAACGGAUUAUUACUUUUGCUGCAGCUAACAUAAAGGGAGUUUGACCGUAUUGGCUGACUGAUGCAGGAUUUCACAAGGGUCGGCAACGAUUCUUGUUAAACUCGAUCUCAAAUCAAGUAAGACUACCCGCUGAACUUAAGCAUAUCAAUAAGCGGAGGA
rnacentral:misc_RNA from 1 species